rnacentral:rRNA from 1 species
UACGGAGGGGGCUAGCGUUGUUCGGAAUUACUGGGCGUAAAGCGCACGUAGGCGGAUAUUUAAGUCAGGGGUGAAAUCCCGGGGCUCAACCCCGGAACUGCCUUUGAUACUGGGUAUCUGGAGGUCGAGAGAGGCGAGUGGAAUUCCGAGUGUAGAGGUGAAAUUCGUAGAUAUUCGGAAGAACACCAGUGGCGAAGGCGGCUCACUGGACUGGUAUUGACGCUGAGGUGCGAAAGCGUGGGGAGCAAACAGG